CAGCCGCCGCGGGAAUACGAAGGGUGCAAGCGUUGUUCGGAAUUACUGGGCGUAAAGCGCACGUAGGCGGCUUGGUAAGUUAGAGGUGAAAGCCCGGAGCUCAACUCCGGAAUUGCCUUUAAGACUGCCGAGCUAGUAGGUGAGAGAGGUAAGUGGAAUUCCGAGUGUAGAGGUGAAAUUCGUAGAUAUUCGGAAGAACACCAGUGGCGAAGGCGGCUUACUGGCUCAUUCUAGACGCUGAGGUGCGAAAGCGUGGGGAGCAAACAGGAUUAGAUACCCGAGUAGUCCCUGUCUCUUAUAC
rnacentral:rRNA from 1 species